rnacentral:rRNA from 1 species
AUUGAACGCUGGCGGCAGGCCUAACACAUGCAAGUCGAGCGAGCGGCGGACGGGUGAGUAAUAUCUGGGAAACUGCCUUAUGGAUGGGGAUUACUACUGGAAACGCUAGCUAAUAACGCAAACCAUCAGAUGUUCCCAGGCGGGAUUAGCUAGUAGGGGGGGUAACGGCUCACCGUGGCGACGAUCCCUAGCUGGUCUGAGAGGAUGGCCAGCCACACUGGAACUGAGCAACGGUCCAGACUCCUACGGGAGGCAGCAGUGGGGAAUCUUGCACAAUGGGCGCAAGCCUGAUGCAGCCAUGCCGCGUGUGUGAAGAAGGCCUUCGGGUUGUAAAGCACUUUCAGCGGGGAGGCGUUACCCGCAGAAGAAGCACCGGCUAAGAACGUGCCAGCCGCCGCGGUAAUAC